GAUAUCAUGAUAGCCUCUGUUUGAACACCUAUCGCAAUUGCUUGUAGAGAAUCUUGCGCGCAAACACGGUUUAUGUGAACAUACCGAACACUGUAUUAAACGUAUGUCACUCUGUUUUCCUUGAAAAAUUGGUUCACAGCGGUCAAAACAUGUUUAGCUAUGUUUCUUACCGUCCAAGAGAUGAUUUUAUCAGUCAUUAUCUGUAUGUAAUUACACAAACUAUCGUGUGGGAGAUUGCCGUAACAGUUAUAAUGAGUAUAUAAUUCCUUGUUACAUUUGAUGAUAAGAACCGUGCAUUGAAAUCAGGCGAAUCAGUUGAAAUACCGUGUGAUUUCAGUCCGGUGCUGGCUCACAAAUGAAUCUUAUUGGAUAGUUUUGUUUACACGCACCAUCAAUUCGAGGAGCUGCCUACGGCCACAAACCUGAAAGGAAAUACGUCAAUUCCAUGUCUACGUAAGAAGGAAAUCCUAUCAGACAAUAGGGAAAAAAAAUCUUUAUAUCAGCCGGUGGACUAGGCUUUCAUUGUGGAGUGUCGGUCAGUCAGGGAAACCAACAUUUUAAAUUAUAAUUAAUCUUUCAGUUUGCCUUCAUAAUUUAACGAAUUCUCAACUCAGUAAACAGACUAUACUUACAUGUUUGGCUUUACAAUCAACUCACAUCAAUUUCUCCUCUCCGUUUGAUCAAGUGGCUAUUGGAGCCUUAUCUCUUGCGAUUUUAUCGGCAGUAUAUUUUGGUACUCGGUUGAAUGAAAGAAAACGCAGGUCAUGAUCUGUCACAAUUUGAGGAAAAGUUAGUAAUGUUUGGUUUUGCAAUCAACUCACAUCGAUUUCUCCUCUCCAUUUGAUCAAGAGGCUAUUGGAGCCUUAUUUUUGUUGCGUUUUUUAUUGGCAGUAUAUUUUGGCAUUCGGACAUGCCCACUGAUUUGAAUGGGAGAAAACUCGAGGUCAUGGACUUUCACAAUUCAUGAUGUCAUCGGCACUUGACAAUAUUUACAUCAAGACAACUAACUAAAGCACGUACGAUGAAUAACUGACUUCAUGAUAAAUAAUUUUGUGCUUGUUGCGGUCAACUUAAGGAGUCUUCCUUCACCAUGACAUGUUUAGCGCUUGCGUUCAUUCGGAGUCAGUUUGAUGACUUCGCUUCAGGAGUCCCUGGGUGAACAUCGCGGCAGCUAGACAGUGUUAGCCACUUUUCAGUGAGUUUAAACGAUUCAGAAUCGAAUUGCUGAGCUGAUCUUCAAUUCAAGAGCUCUCUUGAGGAAACCUCUGAAAAAAUCUGCUUGGAUUUUGGCGGACCUGUGCUGACGGGUGUACUAGUGAAGUGCUGGCCUGCAGUGCUCUGAAGACGACUGUACUCGAAGCGGGAAGUCAUGGCAGCGGUGAUUUGCUUGGUUUUAUUGUUCAUCACCGCGUUUGGAUGCGGAUCUUGUGAAAGAUCAACGCAAUGUUUCGAGAGCUGUGUUUCUAAGAUUCCAGACGAACCUCAGCUUUGUAAUGACACUUGUCUUCAGUUGCUAAAUAUAUACUCAGGUUAGUGAGUACAAAGUCUACCGAGAAGAUUGUAAACUCAACGAUGAAGAUGAAGACCAAAGCACGUUUGUCAGUCUCAAGAUACAUGUGUUUACGUUAGUUUUAAAACUUUGCUUUGAACCUUCUGUAGCCAACAACAUCACUACCAACGUCACCACUGUAUCACCGCCGACACCAGAUGAACCUGUGUUGCUUUCAUCCGGGUACUUUACCUUCAACCUGGACUGGAGAAAUUACAAUGAAAUCAAAUACAACGCUUCGCCAGUUGUUUAUGUUCUGGAAGUUACUCGCCAUGAGAACAUCACUGACCCAUUUGUCAUCUUGCCCCUCAUACAGAAAUAUCACACGACGACAAACACGAAUUUCACCAUCCCGGAAGAAUUCGUCACCAAGACAAACUUCUCGUUCCGUUUGGCAGUGGUUGCACUCCAAGGGACUUCGAACUUCUCAUCACCAAGUCCUCUAUAUACAACAAACAGUAAGUU